GAUGAACGCUAGCUACAGGCUUAACACAUGCAAGUCGAGGGGAAACGAUAUUAGAAGCUUGCUUCCGAUAGGCGUCGACCGGCGCACGGGAGAGUAACGCGUAUCCAACCUGCCCACCACUUGGGGAUAACCUUGCGAAAGUAAGACUAAUACCCAAUGAUAUCUCUAGAAGACAUCUGAAGGAGAUUAAAGACUUAUCGGUGAUGGAUGGGGAUGCGUCUGAUUAGCUUGUUGGCGGGGUAACGGCCCACCAAGGCGACGAUCAGUAGGGGUUCUGAGAGGAAGGUCCCCCACAUUGGAACUGAGAUACGGUCCAAACUCCUACGGGAGGCAGCAGUGAGGAAUAUUGGUCAAUGGGCGAGAGCCUGAACCAGCCAAGUAGCGUGCAGGAUGACGGCCCUAUGGGUUGUAAACUGCUUUUAUAAGGGAAUAAAGUGAGCCUCGUGAGGCUUUUUGCAUGUACCUUAUGAAUAAGGACCGGCUAAUUCCGUGCCAGCCGCCGCGGUAA
rnacentral:rRNA from 1 species